rnacentral:rRNA from 1 species
UCACUGCAUCACACGUGGUAGCGCCCUCCCGACGGUUAAGCUACCUACUUUCUUGUUGCAACCCACUCCCAUGGUGUGACGGGCGGUGUGUACAAGGACCCGGGAACGUAUUCACCGUAGCAUUCUGAUCUACGAUUACUAGCGAUUCCGACUUCAUGGAGUCGAGUUGCAGACUCCAAUCCGGACUACGACAUACUUUAUGAGGUCCGCUUGCUCUCGCGAGUUUGCUUCUCUUUGUAUAUGCCAUUGUAGCACGUGUGUAGCCCUACUCGUAAGGGCCAUGAUGACUUGACGUCAUCCCCACCUUCCUCCGGUUUAUCACCGGCAGUCUCCUUUGAGUUCCCACCAUUACGUGCUGGCAACAAAGGAUAAGGGUUGCGCUCGUUGCGGGACUUAACCCAACAUUUCACAACGCGAGCUGACGACAGCCAUGCAGCACCUGUCUCAGAGUUCCCGAAGGCACUAAGCUAUCUCUAGCGAAUUCUCUGGAUGUCAAGAGUAGGUAAGGUUCUUCGCGUUGCAUCGAAUUAAACCACAUGCUCCCCGCUUGUGCGGGCCCCCGUCAUUCAUUUGAGUUUUAACCUUGCGGCCGUACUCGCCAGGCGGUCGACUUAUGCGUUAGCUCCGGAAGCCACGCCUCAAGGGCACAACCUCCAAGUCGACAUCGUUUAGGCGUGGACUACCAGGGUAUCUGAUCCUGUUUGCUCCCACGCUUUCGCACCUGAGCGUCAGUCUUUGUCGGGGGGCCGCCUUCGGACCGGUAUUCCUCCAGAUCUCUACGCAUUCACGCUACACCUGGAAUCUACCCCCUCUACAGACUCUAGCUUGCCAGUUUCAAUGCAGUUCCAAGUUAGCUCGGGAUUCACAUCUGACUUAACAAACCGCUGCGUGCGCUUUCGCCAGUAUUCGAUUACGCUUGCACCUCGUAUACCGCGCUGUGGCACGGAUUA